rnacentral:rRNA from 1 species
GACGAACGUUGGCGGCGUGCUUAACACAUGCAAGUCGAACGGAAAGGCCCUGCUUUUGUGGGGUGCUCGAGUGGCGAACGGGUGAGUAACACGUGAGUAACCUGCCCUUGACUUUGGGAUAACUUCAGGAAACUGGGGCUAAUACCGGAUAGGAGCUCCUGCUGCAUGGUGGGGGUUGGAAAGUUUCGGCGGUUGGGGAUGGACUCGCGGCUUAUCAGCUUGUUGGUGGGGUAGUGGCUUACCAAGGCUUUGACGGGUAGCCGGCCUGAGAGGGUGACCGGCCACAUUGGGACUGAGAUACGGCCCAGACUCCUACGGGAGGCAGCAGUGGGGAAUAUUGCACAAUGGGCGGAAGCCUGAUGCAGCAACGCCGCGUGCGGGAUGACGGCCUUCGGGUUGUAAACCGCUUUCGCCUGUGACGAAGCGUGAGUGACGGUAAUGGGUAAAGAAGCACCGGCUAACUACGUGCCAGCAGCCGCGGUGAUACGUAGGGUGCGAGCGUUGUCCGGAUUUAUUGGGCGUAAAGGGCUCGUAGGUGGUUGAUCGCGUCGGAAGUGUAAUCUUGGGGCUUAACCCUGAGCGUGCUUUCGAUACGGGUUGACUUGAGGAAGGUAGGGGAGAAUGGAAUUCCUGGUGGAGCGGUGGAAUGCGCAGAUAUCAGGAGGAACACCAGUGGCGAAGGCGGUUCUCUGGGCCUUUCCUGACGCUGAGGAGCGAAAGCGUGGGGAGCGAACAGGCUUAGAUACCCUGGUAGUCCACGCUGUAAACGGUGGGUACUAGGUGUGGGGUCCAUUCCACGGGUUCCGUGCCGUAGCUAACGCUUUAAGUACCCCGCCUGGGGAGUACGGCCGCAAGGCUAAAACUCAAAGGAAUUGACGGGGCCCCGCACAAGCGGCGGAGCAUGCGGAUUAAUUCGAUGCAACGCGUAGAACCUUACCUGGGUUUGACAUGGAUCGGGAGUGCUCAGAGAUGGGUGUGCCUCUUUUGGGGUCGGUUCACAGGUGGUGCAUGGCUGUCGUCAGCUCGUGUCGUGAGAUGUUGGGUUAAGUCCCGCAACGAGCGCAACCCUUGUUCACUGUUGCCAGCACGUUAUGGUGGGGACUCAGUGGAGACCGCCGGGGUCAACUCGGAGGAAGGUGGGGAUGACGUCAAGUCAUCAUGCCCCUUAUGUCCAGGGCUUCACGCAUGCUACAAUGGCUGGUACAGAGAGUGGCGAGCCUGUGAGGGUGAGCGAGUCUCGGAAAGCCGGUCUCAGUUCGGAUUGGGGUCUGCAACUCGACCUCAUGAAGUCGGAGUCGCUAGUAAUCGCAAAUCAGCAACGCUGCGGUGAAUACGUUCCCGGG